CCUGACGUUCUGUGGGAGGUUCUUUCCCACUUGUACUUCGUUCCGCCCGAGGGUCACUUGGGUCGUGUGGGAUGCCGGUUCGGGUCUUGCCGUGCGUUCCCGCAUCGAGUGGGGUAGGCCUUCGUCCGAUGUCAUCACUUCACCGACCGAAUUGAAGUAGCAUUCGCGCGCCUUCUUCUGGGAUCCCCGGACCGUACACACCCCCGCCUCGGUCGGGAACUUGAGGCACUGAUGGAGUGAUGACAUCACCGCCUGGAAGGCGUGCAGCGCCGUCCUUCCCAGGAUGGCAUUGUAUCCCGAUGUGAAGUUGAAAACCGUAAACGUGACCUCGACCGUCUUGGCUUGGGCAUGCCGUCCCAGGGUGACCGGGAGGGCGAACGUCCCCGCUACUGGGACCUCUGACUGGCCGAAUCCUCUGAUGGGGGCCCGGCACGGAAGUAGGUCUGCUCGGGCCAAGCCGAGGUCGACGAAGGCGUUCCAGUACAGUAUGUCCACCGACGCCCCCGUGUCCACCAGGACCCUGUGCAGGCGUACGCUGGACUUG
rnacentral:lncRNA from 1 species